rnacentral:lncRNA from 1 species
UUGCAUUUUUCAUCAUUCAUUUUUUUUGCAUUAUUUUUUUUUGAAAAUAAACAUGCUAUGAUGCAAAUGAUGAGACCAUGACUGGUUGGCUGUGUAUCACAGGGCACAAGAUCAGAACUUCGGCCUGACUUCGGAACAGGAACCACAGGUCAAGGUCAUCUGGAACCCAUACUUCAUAACCAAGUCACCAACAGGAACCAAG